CAAGUCGAACGAGAAAGCGGGGGCAACCUCGUGAGUAAAGUGGCGUACGGGUGAGUAACACGUGGGUAAUCUACCUCUAGUGGGGAAUAACGCUGGGAAACCGGCGCUAAUACCGCAUAAGCUCGAGAGAGGAAAGCAGCAAUGCGCUGAGAGAGGAGCCCGCGGUCGAUUAGCUAGUUGGUGAGGUAAGAGCUCACCAAGGCAAAGAUCGAUAGCCGGCCUGAGAGGGCACACGGCCACACUGGCACUGGGACACGGGCCAGACUCCUACGGGAGGCAGCAGUGGGGAAUCUUGCACAAUGGGGGCAACCCUGAUGCAGCGACGCCGCGUGAGCGAUGAAGCCCUUCGGGGUGUAAAGCUCUUUCGGCAGGGACGAUAAUGACGGUACCUGCAGAAGCAGCUGCGGCUAACUACGUGCCAGCAGCCGCGGUAAUACGUAGGCAGCGAGCGUUGUUCGGAGUUACUGGGCGUAAAGGGUGUGUAGGCGGUUCUUUAAGUUUGGUGUGAAAUCUCCCGGCUCAACCGGGAGGGUGCGCCGAAUACUGAGGGACUAGAGUAUGGGAUGGGAAAGUGGAAUUCCUGGUGUAGCGGUGAAAUGCGUAGAUAUCAGGAGGAACACCUGUGGUGUAGACGGCUUUCUGGACCAUAACUGACGCUGAGACACGAAAGCGUGGGUAGCAAACAGGAUUAGAUACCCUGGUAGUCCACGCCCUAAACGAUGCAUAUU
rnacentral:rRNA from 1 species